rnacentral:rRNA from 1 species
UCAGUAACACGUAGUCAACAUGCCCAGGGGACAUGGAUAACCUCGGGAAACUGAGGAUAAACCGCGAUAGGUCAUAAUAUCUGGAAUGAUUUAUGGCUCAAAUCUACAUGGCCCCUGGAUUGGACUGCGGCCGAUCAGGCUGUUGGUGAGGUAAUGGCCCACCAAGACCUAAAACCGGUACGGGCUCUGAGAGGAGAAGCCCGGAGAUGGGCACUGAGACAAGGGCCCAGGCCCUAUGGGGCGCAGCAGGCGCGAAAACUCUGCAAUAAGCGAAAGCUUGACAGGGUUAUUCUGAGUGAUUUCCGCUAAGGAAAUCUUUUGGCACCUCUAAAAAUGGUGCAGAAUAAGGGGUGGGCAAGCCUGGUGCCA